AAGAUGUGGAGCGACUGAGAGCUUUCCCACACUGCUUACACUGGGCUAAGGAAUUUCACUCUUACCAAUAGAAGCCAGGUUAUCAACGGUUUCCUGCAUCACAUCUUGGUACAGUUCCUUCUGAGAAUCGUCCAGCAGAGCCCACUCCUCAUGGGUGAAGUUCACAGCUACAUCCUCAAAAGCCACUGAGUCCUAAAACAUCCCAUGAAAGAAGAAUGGCGAACAUGACAACACUCACCUCAUGAAGAGACUCACAUGAUUCUGCUUCCUACAACACGUCUAUAACUUGGUCCUUAACUACAAGAUCUGUCUAUACUCAGCUGCUCAUAAAUUUAACAACACGAGUACUUGCAAGUUAUUUCUACUACAGGACUAUGACCAGUCCAAGUCUGACUGUGCUCAGAUAGGUGUAUGGCUGCAGAGCAUCCUGGAGACCUUCUAUAUGAAGUAAUAUGGGGUGGUGAGCUGUGAUAGGCAGUCCGGUGCCUGGCCCAGCUCAGGCUUAAAACCCCAGUGACCCAGCAGGUGACU
rnacentral:lncRNA from 1 species